CAGAACUCUGAUUGAACUACUAAAUUAAAAGAACAUAAAAGAGCUCUCGGAUUGAACAUCCAUCCCAUUCAGCUGUAUAGCAGAACACGUCUCCAAUACAGGUCACAAUAUUGAAUGGGACGUUGUCCAAGUAUAUAAAAGACUUUAAUAGUUACUUCUGGGGGAAAAAGAAUUACUGUGAAUAAAGGAUAUUAAUCCAGUACUGAAUAAAGACUCUGGUAUACAUAGUCGCCAAUCUUCGGUCCAGUGAUCAGAAACACGGAGGUACAGACCACCACAGGCUAGUCUGCAGGCACAGACCCUGAUUGGAACUUUGAUCAACAAGUGUGCCUCCACGUAAAGACUAUAGCACAUACAAAAACGAGCGAGAUAGCCUUCAGUACACAAGGCAUGAGUAGGCUGCACAUUCAGACCCUUAACUCGAGUGAAGGGUUUGCCCAGCAGACUAACCACAGGCAGCAAACUUUGUGACUGAUCAAUUGGCUUGAGAAAGUCCACAGGACUGGACGAAAGCUCGCCCCCGGGGAGCUCGCCCCAAAUCAUCUUUAAGAGAAGCUUAGCUACCAAGGAGGCUGCUGAUGAACUUGAGCACCAACUGAUGGUACCUUUAGCUGUAGGAAAGUAUUUACCAUGGGUAGCAUUCAGUUUAGGAAUCCUCAUAUUACUGGUAGGGAUAGGAUGUUCAAGGUAUCACUGGAAACAAUGGAAAGAAAACCCGAUCUUAGCUAUAAAUAGUGUGACGACGGAUGAAGAAAGAGAACCAAUGAUGGAAUCAUGAAGCUAUUAAUGUGAUUUGAGCUUCCUGACAUGUAGAUAACGGUGCAUAAAGGACGAGGAGUAUUAUUUUGGUCUAAGCAAUUUAGCUGAUUAACAUUGGGUCUUUAUAUACUUCUUCUGCGCAUCUUCACUUCCCUUUUUUCUCAGUUUUUUAAAUUUCUUUAUGUUUUUCAUCUGUAAUAUUUGCUUUAACUUUUGUACCUCUACAAUUUGCUUUAACUUUUGUACCCAGGGAUCGGCGUUUUAUAAGGCUUUAGCUCUGUUGUCCCACAUUCACAUAAGCCCGUUUGUUAUGUAUUUUCUGUAUUCGUACCUUUAAUAAUUCUCCUUACAUGUUUUCACGGGAGUGAGAUAAACGAAAUGAAUAAGAAAAAUCUGUCCGCCCGUUGUAAUGUCAUAAGGGUAAAAUUCGUGUUAACUUGGUUUGGAUGCCUUUGUUGGCAUUCAAUAUUAAAUUAAAUUCAUAUCAAUUGUUUUGAUAUAGCCUCGAGAGAGAAACUAGAUAAAAAAAUGAAUAUGCAUAUGGAAUCUGCAUCAGACAAAGCAGUCUCAAUAUAGAACCAACUAACCCCUGCUGUAUAUUUUUUUUCUGUCGAAAUUA